GAUUUGCACCUUAUAAGAUUUCAGCUCUGCUAGCAAAGCUGUUUUUUCAUCGAUUUACAGAUUUGUUCCAGGUCCGGUUUCCGCAACUCAACCGGAAGUCAGGAGAUGCGUUUAAAAUACAAAACACUAAUUUGGCCCAAACCUGUGAUACGGAUAUGGGCAGAAGGAGCAGGUGGUAAUUGAACAGAGAAGUCAACUAGCUGGCUGCUGUAGAAUAAAAGUAUUUUGUAAUGGCACAAAUUUAGAAACAUGAGGGUGCACUAUGUGCCCAUGGCCACUUCAUUUCUACACUAAAUUUAAGCUAAUUGGCUCAGUAUAUGUGCCAGUUAGACUUUUCAGUGCUGUUUUUCUACAGUCAGCAGAUUUGGGCCAGAUCCACUUACCACAUCAGAACCAAAGCUUCCAGAAAGACAGUUCCCUGAUGUGGCCCACAUCUGUAAUAUUGACCCAAACCACCUCCAAACUUGUGUGUUCCACUCUGGUUUACUGAACAGAGCCGAACGCGCGAAGUGAGUGAGGUCCGUCCGUUUGCGAGACGUUAUGCUGAUCUGGCCCUCAUCCGUACCACGGAUUAUAGCCAGAAACCGUUGGAAUAGAUCAAAUGAAACUUUUGUGGGGGUGCCCAUGCCAUAUUUCGUUAUUAAAUCCUGAUUUGUUAAAUCUUACAAUGGAACACUUGCACGUAGCCUACACAAAAAUGAUUAAUUCACUAACAAAGUAAUAGGCUUGUCUCAAAAUGGAAGAUUUACCACAUAACAAAAUAAUACAUUAGCAACUGUCCACUAUCCAAGUGCAAUGGUCCAAGCUGUAUUGCCAUCCUGGGAAGAAAAAAAGUUGCGAACAUCGUGGGAAAAAACGGCACUGGCGCACAUAAUGGAUGGCAACAUGGGUGCAUUUAUAGUCCAUCAUGACAUAAAAAAUCCUCUGCAUGCAACCACGAGGAGAGGGGGAAUUUACUAAGGAGUUUUGUCUAUAUAUUAUAUAAAAUCUACUGUUGGGAAGAGCAGAACCUAAUCCAAAUAAAAAUAAACAAGCUGUUAAAAGCCAGUUGAAGGUGGUCAACACAAACCAAAUGAAGAUGUUGCACAUUCCACAAACAAUAAAAAAAGAAGAUCAAGUUUUGUGUCCAACACACUUGGAUGAGACGUGCCCGACCCCUGACUUUGUCUACCCUACAUUAAGUUGUGAUGGCACACUUCAUGACAGUAAACAUCGGUAUCAAGAUGAUGUGAUUGAUCUAUACCCUAGAAUAAGCUGUGACACUAUGAGACGGUGACAUAAUGAACAGCCAUCUUCCAGACAACCGAAACAGUAUUGUCUACAAUACCAAAUUCUGGAUUGACGCCCCAGUACCAGAAGGCACUCCAAUCCCAGAGAGCAUCCCAUUGUCCAGCAACUGUCUGAGCUGGUGGAUAUUCUAUCAGAGACUGCAUGAACAACGUUAUGAACAGGUAUGUGUUUCCCUUGAAUUGUGUAAUCCUGCAUAAUAUUGCAGGAAUAUUGAUUACAACCAUAAUUAACCCAGCAAUUUAUAUUACUUAAAUUCAGGAUUUAAUCUGUCACACAUCACUUGUUCAGAA